GUACGAUUCGGUAAGAAAGGAAAACUGAGUCCAAGGUAUAUUGGACCAUUCCCCGUGAUUCAACGAAUAGGACCAGUAGCUUAUCGUUUACAACUACCAGAAGAAUUAGCUGGAGUACAUAAUGUAUUUCAUGUAUCCAAUCUCAAGAAAUGUCUAUCAGAUGAGUCCCUGGUAGUACCUCUUCAAGAUGUAGAGGUGAACGAAAAGUUGAAGUUUAUAGAGAAACCACUACAGAUCAAAGAUAGAAAAGUCAAGUUUCUCAAACACAAACGAUUGGCGUUGGUCAAAGUCAAAUGGGAAUCCAAGAGAGGACCAGAGUAUACUUGGGAACUGGAAUCAGAAAUGAAGCGAAAGUACCCUCAUCUAUUUCAGUAAAUCUCGAGGACGAGAUUUUUCUCAAGGUGGGGAGGAUGUAACAACUGUCACGAAAAUCGAUAAUUAGGAUGAUAAUUAGGCAAUGAGAAAACCCUAAUUGAAACACCCAAGUAAUUUCGCAUAAACCCUAAAAUUUUCAUAACAAUCGGAAUCAGGAUCAGGGCCCCUAAAACUCAGGGGGGGUAAACCCUAGUUGGUAAUAUCUUAACAGUUUUACGUGGGAGCUAAGUUUUCAGUCGAAACCAACUCACCCAAGCUACCUGUACACGAACACACCCUAUGCUAGACUAGGGUCUCUCGCGCCACGCGACACGCGUAAGGAAAUCCUUCGCGUGGCGCGAGGGAGCGCAUUUUUCAGAUAUAAAUAGGGGAUGUUGGCACUUGAAAUUCUGUGAUAAUUCGACGUCCAAAUUCCGUUUAUACACGGAGAUAUCGUCUGAAUACUACACAACCACACACUAAACUCGAAGUGCUGCCACAAUCAGGGUAAUAACUCGAUCGCUAUUACGAUUCAACGUCCGAUCGAUUAUAACUAUCCAACGAUUGUCCGAGUGCUGCUCAAAUUGAGCUUAUACUUUGAUUAUUCGUCGUGAUUUCAACUUGAAUAUUAGAGUGCUGUUCGAAUCCGGACUAUGCUCUGUUAUUCGUUGUAAAUCCGAUUGAAUUAUUAAGUAUUGCACUUGAUAAUCUUUGUGAGGGUUUAAUCUCGUGAAUUGACGUAACUGCUGUAUUAGUUACUAACCUGCCUGUGUGUGCAUUGUGUUAAUUUAGGAUAAUCAAGGCUAAUCAGUAGGCUUAUCUAUUGCUCGUUAAUCUGCAAUGUGAGUCAUUCUUCUUUUUAAACUGUUUUCUCACAGUUUGUGAGUAAGUAUUACAAAACUCCAAGUUAUUUUCAAAGUUAUAAUUACAGGGAUUAAGUCUAUGUAAUCACCAUAUUACAGCCGGUAUGUGGGGUUUUGUAUACAUUACUUAUUUCCCGUCACACUUGGACAAACGGGUGGCCAAGGGGUGAUUUGACCACAGUCACAGACACCAUUGGACAAAUGGGCUAGCCAAUGGGUGGUCGAGUGACAAAUACUGUGGGUAGUUGGUUUGAUAUCAGAAACAUUGUAAUUCCCCUUAAUACUGUAAUUUAUAACUAACGGGUCGUUUUAGAAAACAGAGUGAUUCACUCAGUAUUUCCCCGCUGACAAAACCUUUUUCAAACAUGUUUCAGGUGAUCUGUGUGAUCCAGGAAAAGUGCAGUAAAGCACUACAAGCUCAGAGAAGUGGCUCAUUGUGAAUAAAUAAAUAAAACAUGUUUUGGAAAAUAAUGAUUUCUGUGUGAAAUCAACUGAUUGUAAAUUAUGGGAUUUUAUCCCUAAAAACUUUGUGUAAUAUAUUAAAACGAGCAUUUUACGGUGAAAAGAUCCUGUAAUAAAAGACUUCCGCUGCCGCAUAAAUUAAAUACCACGGGUACCACUGGACUGCUCGCGGCUCCCGAUUCCGUCCAGGGUGGGUCGGGGGUCGUGACAUUUAUUCAAAAGGGCAUCGACUUGUUUUCUAAUCUCUGUUGUUUCCUGUGGGUUGGAUCGGUACGCAGGCUUAUUAGGAAGGACAGCCCCCGGUAUAAGAUCAAUCUUAUGUUGAAUCGACCUGAUGGGUGGUAAACCUGGUGGAAUUUCAGCAGGGAACACAUCAGCAUAGGUUUGUAAUAGCUGGGCAAGAAAGGGGUGAGGAGCACUGAUUGGUUUCUCCUCCGUUUCAUCAAGGCCAAGUAGAAUUAGCUCACGCGCCUUGGUGAACUCGCGUUGCUCUGCCUUAAGUAGGGUGCUUAAGGGUAAUUGUUUCUUAGGUGGAUUCAUAGGAGUUAGAGGGGUUAGGGUAAUUCGUUUUUGAUUGUGGGUAAAAGAGUAGGUAUUGAGGUAUCCAUCGUGCAUAACUCGUUUAUCGAACAACCAGGGUCGGCCUAGUAAAACGUGACAGGCGUCCAUAGGAAUUACAUCACACCAUAUUUCAUCUUCAUAUUUUUUACCAAUACUAAUCGAUAACAAAAUUCGACGAGAGACUUGAAGCCCCUUACCCGGAUUAAGCCAUGUAACAUCCCGAAAAUAUAAAACUUUAUAAUAAUACAUAUAGUUUAAAUAAAUGAGGAAUUACCCAUCUAGAAGUGUAGUAACUUGGUUAGCUAACAUGUCUAGCAUUAGCCUACAAUGAGGUUAAAACAACACAAUUUGUUAUGUUAAAUAAAUGGAGGGACCAAUCUUGUAAAAAUCAGAACUUGAAUUACUAAAAUAGUAAAAACCAACCAAACACCCCAUUCAAGAGGUGUCUGGUCGAUCAACAAGCAGGGGCGACAAGGGGUUUCUUCACCCAAACCCUAACUUGCAAGAAAAUCACAAAUUGAAGCCUCAAAUCAGUUAGAAAUAAAAAUCCAAGCACAGAAUCGUGAUCACCUUGUCAAAGGGAUCCUAAGGUAUGUCGAAUUAGGUCAUUUUCAUUCGAUUCAAAGUUCAUGUAUGUGAUCAAAAAUCGAAUGUAGAGCUUGAUUAUGUGUAGUAAACAUGAAAUUGGAAGUAAUGUAAGGUUUAGGGACAAACCCUAGAUAAUUUCUUGUCAAAUUCUUGCAUGAUAAUCGUAUAGAUCAAAAUCACCAUAGUGGGUGAUCAGCAUGUUUGUAAAACUUGAUGAACACUAGGAUUAAAACUCUUGUUCUAGUGUAAACUGAAAUUAUGAGGAAAACUCUAAAUUGUUAAUGUUAACAUAUAGACAUGUAGUCAAAUUGAAGUCAAUUUUGGUGAUAAACUCGACUCAUGAACUUGGUUUAGAUCAUAUAAAAAUCUGACCCGUUAGGUGUUUGAUAAAAUGCCUAAAAGAGGGUAAAAUGCUAAAAGUCGGGCAAAACGCAGAUUUGAAUACAUUAAGAAAUAAUGCGUUAAAGCUUACGAAAGGGGUUCUAAUUUUUGUUAUAAAUUGAACUCUUUAGGCAAGGAAUCCGGAACGUCAAGUGGACACGCCGGAAGUGAUACCCGCGGAAAAGGUGUGCUUUAAAGGAUGCGUUUGAUGUGUAUGGUUAAAUUUCUCCCGGAUGGUGAUCAAGCACUUUGUCAGGAACCGAACACGCAUUUUGGAGCUUCCGCACUGAAUAUAAUCUUGUUUAAACUUUAAACAUGUCGUAAAUACUUUUGUUAAUAGUGUUUUGAAUCCUUUAAACUAGUUGUUAGUUGACUAGUAGGGGUUGACUUUAAAUGAAUUAUGCAUUAUCUUGG
rnacentral:lncRNA from 1 species